UCACCACAUGCUGUGUGAUCUGACAGAGGAAAAAGAACCCAGUUUGUUAAUAUGGUGGAUCACAUGGAUGGAUUUCCGUAUAUUGAGCUAUCCCUGCACACCUGGGAUGAAGCCUACUUGGUCAUAGUGGAUGAUAUCUUUGAUGUGAUCUUGUAUUCGGUUUGCAAGUAUUUUGUUGAGUAUUUUUGUAUCAAUGUUCAUAAGGGAGAUUGGCCUGAAAUUCUCUUUCUUUGUUGGGUCUUUGUGAGGUUUAGGUACCAAGGUGACUGUGGCUUCAUAGAAUGAGUUUGGUAAUGUUCCAUCUGUUUCUAUUUUGUGGAAUAGUUUGAAGAGAAUUGGAGUUAGCUCUUCUUUGAAGGUCUGGUAGAAUUCUGCACUAAAAACCAUCUGGCCCUGGGCUUUUUUUCAGAUGGGAGACUUUCGAUGACCACUUCUAUUUCCUUAGGGGAUAUAGGACUAUUCAAUUGAUUUACCUGGUCUUGACUCAGCUUUGGAGCUGUCAUGGUCUUGGUGUCUCUUUACAGCAAUAGAAACCCCAACUAGAACAAUCGUACUCAAAGGAAGCAUCUAAAACUGGCAGAUUCAUAGAAGCAGACAGAAUGGUAGCAGCUAAAGACUUGGAGAAAAUGGUGAGUUGCUGUUCAGAGUAUAAAGUGUCAGCUUCAGAAGAUGGAAUAGACCCUGGAGAGUUGCUGUUUCACAUCAUGCGCUUGGGAACAAGACUUUUGGGACUCCAAGGAAAUGAUCGUUACCUCAAUUCAUUCUUGACUCUGAAGAAAGUAUGAUGAAUUCAUUAGCUUACUUAAACAGUGUUUAUAGAGAUUAAUAUGCUCUUUACACUGUACAAAUACAGUAGAACUGGUUUUCUGAAAGAUUACAUAAGCAGAUAUUUAAGGAGGUAAUCAAUGAGGCUACCAAUGCACUGAAGGGACCUCACUCUAACUAAAAGAACAAACAGCCAUGAAGAAUCAAUCUGUAGUGGAGAUGUAUUAGGAACAUGUGUGAAUAAUCAAUGAGAAACCUACAGAAAUGAAUGGGGAAGGGGGAGUUCCACUGGGCUGGGGAAGCAGCCAGGCUUAAAGCUGUCAUGACAAAGUAUCAUUUGUCUGUAACAAGACGAAAAUGAGAUUCUGAUGAGUAUGGGUGUAUACUUAGUAUAUACUUUAAUAUGAUACAUGGAGGCAGUAGUCAGUUAUGAACUCAUGAUCCAUCAAAUGCAUAAGUCAUUUAUUUAUUCUGUAACUAUGUAUCAGACACUUUCUGUAUGCACAACCACUAGGUAUAUAAUAAAGGCACCAAUCAAAUCAUU